UACGGGGGGGGGGCAAGCGUUGUUCGGAAUUACUGGGCGUAAAGGGCUCGUAGGUGGCCAACUAAGUCGGACGUGAAAUCCCUCGGCUUAACCGGGGAACUGCGUCCGAUACUGGUUGGCUUGAGUUUGGGAGAGGGAUGCGGAAUUCCCAGUGUAGCGGUGAAAUGCGUAGAUAUUGGGAGGAACACCAGUGGCGAAGGCGGCUCACUGGACCGGUACUGACGCUGAGGCGCGAAAGCGUGGGGAGCAAACAGG
rnacentral:rRNA from 1 species